GGCAUGCGCCGUAGUUUAGUUGGUUAAAGCGCCUGUCUAGUAAACAGGAGAUCGCGAGUUCGACAUCUCGCCGGUGCCU